GGUGAGGUGCGAGAGUGGUUGAAUCGGGCGGUCUCGAAAACCGUUGAACCUUCACGGGUUCCGUGGGUUCGAAUCCCACCCUCACCGCCA
rnacentral:tRNA from 2 species